rnacentral:rRNA from 1 species
UACGUAGGGUGCAAGCGUUAAUCGGAAUUACUGGGCGUAAAGCGUGCGCAGGCGGUUAUGCAAGGCAGAGGUGAAAUCCCCGGGCUCAACCUGGGAACUGCCUUUGUGACUGCAUAGCUAGAGUGCGGCAGAGGGGGAUGGAAUUCCGCGUGUAGCAGUGAAAUGCGUAGAUAUGCGGAGGAACACCGAUGGCGAAGGCAAUCCCCUGGGCCUGCACUGACGCUCAUGCACGAAAGCGUGGGGGGCAAACAGG